rnacentral:rRNA from 1 species
UUUAACGAGGAACCAUUGGAGGGCAAGUCUGGUGCCAGCAGCCGCGGUAACUCCAGCUCCAAUAGCGUAUAUUAAAGUUGUUGCGGUUAAAAAGCUCGUAGUUGGAUUCCUGUCUUCGGCCGGGCGGGUGAAAAGUUGAUAAAACUGAUCACUUGUCUUUGAUUCGGCGGUGUCAAAGCCGCCGAGUCUUUAACGGUCGGACAAUACCGUCGGUGAGUGCCGGCUUGCGGCUUCGGCCGCGAUCGACACUCGUAAUCGACCGGGGUGCUCUUCAUCGGGUGUCCCGGCCGACCGACAUUUUUUUACUUUGAACAAAUUAGAGUGCUCAAAGCAGGUGCACACAUCGCCUGAAUAUCACAGCAUGGAAUGAUAGAAUAGGACCUCGGUCUUAUUUUGUUGGUUUUCUCUAGACCCGAGGUAAUGGUUAAUA